AAGUCGUAACAAGGUUUCCGUAGGUGAACCUGCGGAAGGAUCAUUAGAAUGAGAGCCGGACCAUGUCGUGGGCGAAAGCUCGCACGUGCCAGUAAGCGCCCGUAAACCUCCACCCUUGUGUAUUAUUCUUCUGUUGCUUUGGCAGGCCGCGACCCUCUGGGGGAGCGCGCUGCGCUGGACGAGUGCCAUGCCAGAAGGACCAAAUCUCUGUAAUUUAAUGCCGUCUGAGUACAUACAGAAAUUAGUUAAA
rnacentral:misc_RNA from 1 species